CACUGGCCAUUUAACUAUAGUAGUCAGAAAAUACAAAAUUAAUUCAAUUUAUUAUUAGUCAAGGUUUUUUAUUAAAGCUUCACUCACUGCAAAGUGGCCAUUUUUCUGUUUACAUUGUCCUGCUCAGCAAAAAUAAGAAAAAACAAAACAUUGUUUCCUAGUAUUAAUAAUUUGAAUAAGCACCUUAAUAUUAACAUCACUGUCUUGGCUUUACACUAUUAAAACCAUUGGUUAAGAUCCCAGAACAUCUUAAAAGCAGUUUCCUCCACUUAAAAUGUUUUUUGGUGUACAGUUAUUAACAGGUUAACUGGAGUUUGCAUUAAAAUGUAUAUGUUGCUAUAUGUUCAUUUUGUUUUCAAUAUAUAUGUUAUAUGUGGGUGUUUCGUUGUUCUUUGUGGUGUAUCCUGCAAUUUGUCCUUUAUGGACUUAAUUUUUUUUGGUCUCAAGCAAUCAGCAAUUCCUGUCUUAAUACUAUUGAAUAUUAUUUUAUUACUUAUAUAUUUAUUUUUUUUUUGUAUAUCCUGCAAAUUUAACUGAUUUAUAUAUCAUGCCUAUUACUAUAUAGAUUAUAUAGAUUACGUUAUCUAUAUAAUAAUACGCCAGUUCUGUCUGUCUGUGACUUUUGCAAAGUGGAUAACAUUUCUUAGAUAAAGUCUAUAAAACAUCACCUAUAAAUUUGUUCUGUGAAUUACCAAAAUUUGACGUUAAAGCAAUGUUGACGUCAAAGGAAAGUAUAUUAUAAGAUUAGUGAAGCCAUUGCAUUGUACUUUUAAAUUUAAGGCUAAAAAACUUGGAAACGGGUGGAAAUAACUUGGAAACGGGUGGAAAUAACUGACGUCAUCUCCUGUGUGGGAAACUAGGGACUACCUGAGACCAAUUUGGACAUGGACAAAGUCAAGAAGACUGAAAGAUUAUCAAAGGUAUCAAAGCUAUUCUUGGAUCCAGAAAAACAUCAUCAAAUUUUUAAAAAGGAAACAAAAGACAUUUAACAAAACGAGUGGUAUAUUUUGAUCAUUAGAACCAAAUUUAAUGUAAUUUAAAGUUGUUAAAUUUUAUAUAAGAGUUUUAUCAUAAUAUUCACUGCAGUUAAUUUAUGUAAUUAUUUCAAGCGUGUUAUCUCGGACCUGAGAACUGCUACUGCUAUACUCUAGGCAUCAUGAUUUUAAAAUUUAAAGCUAUCUAGUUAUUCCAGUAAGUAAGUAAAUAAGUAAGUAAUAUAUUUUUCCUGUGAUAGAAGCUAUACAAACUUUCCUUAUAGAUAUUACAUACGAAGGUUAUUAUUUACUUUGACCGCACCUUACAGAGGUAAACCAAUAGAAAUAGCAUGGCUGAAGGGACUAUGGAAACCUUUGACAUGGAGGAAAGGAUACACACAAACCAGCAAGCAACACCAUAGUGUAAAGUGAAAACUGAGAGUAGUGACUGGACCCAAUAGGAAUCAUGCCUGAUGAGUAAAAAUGAUUUAUGAAUGAAAUACGUACCAAUGGAUACUGUGACUCUGUGGUCAGUUAGGAAUAAUUAUUUAAGAACUGUUUAACAAAGUAUUUCAUUGGGAUUUUGACAGUGCCCAGAAAAUUUUUUAAGUGAUUUUGCGUAGAGUUUCAAUCAUUAACGCACUUAAGAGAUUUCUCACCAUAGAAAGUUGUAUUAAAAAUGGUAAAAUCAUAUUGUUUUGGAUUAUCUGGGUUGAUUUUCGCAGGAUUUAUUGGCAGGAAGAAUAAAUUCAUCAAGGACAUUAGACAGCUGCUCAUCCACAAAAAUCGUGGACAAAAAGAAAAUUUAAGAUAGUUACAUAGUCGCAAACUCUUAGGAUGUUUGAUAGUUUAAAUAGUGGCUUGGGAGAUUCAUAUCAUUUUAAAUGUGCUUGUUUUGAAAAGAUUGAAUUUUCAACUUUGGGUUAUUCUUACUAUGACACCAUUAUCUUACUAUGUAUCCAACAUAUUAAGUGUGAUUGAAAAAUGGCAUAAAAAUAUUUAGUAAAAUGAGUAAAUCUAGUUGUAAUGGCAAACUGUCGUUAGCAUAGCAAUGGCUCUACAACAAGGGCAUUUACGUGUAGUGUUCAUCAAGAAUUACACUAAGGUACGUGGUGGAAUGUUUAGGAAUGACAUUUUGUCCACUUAACCUGAAAUUGAGACGCAUUCUGAUAGUUUUUCAGUUGGUUUAAAAAAUAAUUAUGUAGCUAAAUAGUAAGAGUAUAUAGUAAAGAAAACAAUUAUACUUACACGGUCGUUUUUCUAUCGAUCUUGUUCUAGGAGAAUGCAUUAUAUAGUGU